rnacentral:rRNA from 1 species
UCUACCUACGGGAGGCAGCAGUGAGGAAUAUUGGUCAAUGGGCUUACGCCUGAACCAGCCAAGUCGCGUGAGGGAAGACUGCCCUAUGGGUUGUAAACCUCUUUUGCCGGGGAGCAAGGGCGGGGACGUGUCCCGGCCCGGAGAGUACCCGGAGAAAAAGCAUCGGCUAACUCCGUGCCAGCAGCCGCGGUAAUACGGAGGAUGCGAGCGUUAUCCGGAUUUAUUGGGUUUAAAGGGUGCGUAGGCGGGCUUUUAAGUCAGCGGUAAAAAUUCGGGGCUCAACCCCGUCCGGCCGUUGAACCUGG